rnacentral:lncRNA from 1 species
GCUGAUUCUCUCUGUCUCCGGCUCCUGGACCAACCUUCCAGAGUCCGGUAGCUGCACAGCCCCAGAUCAUCCGGCCACGGACUGAUCCGGGAGGCCAGAAAGCCGGCAAGACGGAAUUGCCCGUCUUGGACGGUGCCGGCAGCGGACCGUCUGGGCGUCGGUUUGUGUCACUGGCAACCAUCACUCGCACUUAAACCGGGCCCAGGUGCCCAUAGAAGGCAGAAAUGGUGGACACGGAUCGCUCUCAAGGAUGCUCCGCUCCGAGCCCGUCACCUAGGAUCAUCUGGGCUGUUUCUGCUGUCCGGGGACGCCGCCGUGGAAGCGAUUCGGCAGGGCGCUCGCCACCAACCGCUCUCCAAGUUUGUGCUGAAUGGAGGCAAAAGGUUGGCUUUUCGCUUGCGGGGUGGUGGAAGGAAGCAGAACUUUGAUGACACUUCUCGGUCGGCUCUUGGCGUGUCUGUGACUGCCUUCGCUGAGAGGUGCGCUGCGGGUGUCCGGCGAGGAAGAAAGAAGGGUUCGCAGCGCGCGGGGCCUGGGCGUGGAGGUGCGCUUUGCGGCUCCGCUCCGCCCCGGGCUGCAGGGCCUGGACGGUUUCUGUUCAGUAGGGUGUGUGUUACGAGCGUGGAUAGGACAGAGAUCCAGACACAAAGACAGACAAGGCAUCAGUUACUGCAGUGGGCUGGAUCUGUGUGAACUCCGAGAGCGAGAUUCGGUAACUGGGUGCAGCUGGUGCGUGUGGCUCGGUGCACAUCGGAGUCUGUGCGUUCGAGGCUUGUGUGCGGAACUGGUUGUCCACGUGUUUCGACUGGGGUUGCCCGCGCUUGUGCCUCGGACGCUCUCUGACACCCACCCCUAGAAGUCCUUCCUGAUGUCUGUGUGCCUGGGAGCUCACGCCAAAUCUGCCCUUCAGCCUUCAUAGUGGCACACAGAGAACACAGACUGCCAACAAGAGAGAUGUGGAGUUUAGAGAAACGAUUUCAGA